GACAGCAUGUCAUCUAGUUAGUUGACAGCUCUAAAUUAGAUCACAUUCAGGACUGGCCAAUCAAUUAGCUAGUCAUGUAACAACUGGGGUAUAAUCUGGCUAGAAGUUACACCAAAACAGAUCACAGAUGUCAUCAAGACAACAUGACAGACAGUUACAGGAAAAGAGCUCCAUAAUCAUCUUGACAAUGAGAAGGAAUGACAUCUGGUGAUGCCUGACCAGAGAGCAUCAUAUAAUGGAUGGUUUUGCGCGCCUUGGAUUCCCACACUGCAUAGGCAGCAUUAAUGAAAUGUGCAUUGCUAUUUGAGCCCCUGGAAGGAAAAUCAAUCAGUACAGAAAAAGAAAACAAUUCUGCUCCAUGCUUCUCUAGGUGGCAGUGGAUCACACCAGUCAACUCAUCACUUCAGAGGUUGAGUAGAACAGGAGAGCUCAUAAUGCAUUCAUGUAUACAAGUUCCAACUUGUGUUCUUCAAUGGAUGGUGGGGUGUUUGUUCCUGGCAACCUUACAAGAACUCUGCAAAGGGUGAGUGUUCCUGCCCUCAUGAUAGCCAUUGGUACCUACCCCAUGUGGUGCUGGCUAGUGAAGUCAUACAGUAACCCUAGUAACAUGAGGGAAAGAAACUUCAACAACAACAAAACUUUGCAGGGCACACAAUGUUUUGUAGUGAGCAUUUGUGCAGCUGAAGUCUGUUUGAAGCUGCCUUUCUUCAUGCCUGACAGUAUUCAUUGAAAAUAUAACCACGGUUGUCCCUGUUUGUGUGAUUCUUCACAUCAUAUGUGAACAGAAGGCAUAUGAUGUUCUCAUUGAAAGAGCUGAGCAGGACACCAUGCUGGUGCCAGAGGAAGAAAAGGACUUCAAUCAAACCUGCAAACGGCAUCUUGCUGAGGGCAAGCAUGUGUGUAAUUCAUUCACAAACUUUAGGUAUACUCACCAACACAGAUACCAAAAACAUAUGAGAGAUACCAUAAACAUUUUAAAAAGUAGUUUGCCCAUGACAUUCUGUUUCCUUGAUCACAAGCAACCCAACUGCCAUUAUUAAUUUUCCUAGUAUUUAAUAAAGCAUUCUUUUCGUAGUUUCACAAGACAUGGGUUAUAUAUCCCUUCUGUGCAAAUAAAUCUUACUUUUUAUUUUUAAAAUCUGAAAGGUUCUAAAGUGUUUGCAAUGAUGUUUUAACGUUAUUCUGUUGAAAUGCCUCCAAAGUGACAUGGCACCUUCUGGCAGUGCGAUGAAAUCAAGGCAUUUCUUGACAUUGUACAAUCUGGCCAUUUUGCAGGCCUCAUGGCCAGUACAUGCUUAGAUGGUUCAAGUGAUACAGACCAAUAACAAUAUAAAAAUAAACAGACGUAUAAGAGUAUUUGUGAAAA